CUGGAGUUACACAUAACAGUGUAAGAACAUCUCAGUAUAAUAGCUGUGUAUAAUGUAAUGCGAAUGAGGUUUUGUGGUCUGUUUGGAAUUACAAGCUUUUAGAGCUUAUGUAGUGGAAAACACAGCAAACUGAAUUCAGAUCUAAUGCCUACACACUUUGAUCCAUAUUAUCCAGUGAUAACUGGCAGUAUUGCAUUGCACUUUAUCUUCUGUAGUUACGUUGUCCAAAUAUUUCCAGUCAAAUACGGCAUUAUGUGAUAUAUGUAUGUGCCAUUUUUCAACUGUCCAGUGACCUCUGGUUAGUGCAAUUUCACAGUGCUUUCAACAGACUAUCUGCUGCCAUAAUUUGUGUCGCUCUUUCUCGCACAUUAACCCCCCCAGUAGACAUGCAUGACAUGCUGCUUAGUAUGGCUUUAGAAUCCAGGGCAGUCGGAACUUAUGUCUUAUGUCACUGUCGCUGAGGCAGUAGUGCUCCCAUCUGGCAUGUUGCUAAGCCUGUUCACAGCAAGAGUGACAGUUCAGAUAUCCCUCCUGCAGAGUCGAGAGCAAAAUAUGUGCCAGAAAGAAUCUCUAACACAGUCCUAUCAGGGUAAAUGAAAAAACACAGACACGUGAUUAUUUCAGCACUCUUGGCUCUUUGUUAAAAUCGUCUAUAGAUGCUUUACAUGUAUACAGUGCAAAUGCACAAAAGCACAAUGGACACCAUUCAGUGACAGAGAUUAUUCAGAUUUGUUACAAUGAUAUACACAAUUUAUUUUUUUAAGUAUGCUUGACUUCAUGGUCCUUUAGACAGGAUAGUUUGAUUAGACUCUCGUCUGCCUUUGGGAUAGAUGGUUAUAAUGAUGACCUUAAGCCAUGAGAAGACGAGGCCUUUCAGAGGUCAGAGCAAAUGCAGAUUCAGAGAGGUCUGAGGAUUCAUACUUCACAAGAGUCUCAUGUGUUCUGAUAAUCAUUUGGCCCCAAUGUCCUCACAAAUGGCCUUCACUGGUCUUUCUUCCACUUCCCUGUUCAUUGUGUGUGUGUGUGUGUGUGUGUGUGUGUGUGUGUAUUAGGGGUGUCAC